rnacentral:rRNA from 1 species
ACUGGCGCACGGGUGAGUAACGCGUAGGUAACCUGCCUUCAGGACGGGGAUAAUUCAGCGAAAGUUGGACUAAUACCCGAUGACAUGUCAGCAUUCAAAGCCCUGCCUGGAGAUGGGCCUGCGUCCCAUUAGGUAGUUGGUGAGGUAACGGCUCACCAAGCCGACGAUGGGUAGCUGGUCUGAGAGGAUGAUCAGCCACACUGGAACUGAGACACGGUCCAGACUCCUACGGGAGGCAGCAGUGAGGAAUAUUGCGCAAUGGCCGAAAGGCUGACGCAGCGACGCCGCGUGAGGGAUGAAGUCCGUUAGGAUGUAAACCUCUUUUGCAGGGGAUGAAUGACAGUACUCUGCGAAUAAGGAUCGGCUAACUACGUGCCAGCAGCCGCGGUAAUACGUAGGAUCCGAGCGUUGUCCGGAUUUACUGGGUGUAAAGGGCGUGUAGGUGGGUCUUUAAGUCGAUGGUGAAAUCCUGCGGCUUAACCGCAGAAUUGCUUUCGAAAC